rnacentral:rRNA from 1 species
GGUUGAUCCUGCCAGUAGUCAUAUGCUUGUCUCAAAGACUAAGCCAUGCAUGUCUAAGUAUAAACAACUUUAUACUGCGAAACUGCGAACGGCUCAUUAAAUCAGUUAUAAUCUACUUGAUCGUAUCAUCUUACUUGGAUAACCGUAGUAAUUCUAGAGCUAAUACAUGCGAAAAGUCCUGAUUGUGGCAACACGAGAGGGAUGUAUUUAUUAGGUACAAAAUCAAUGCUGGCCAUUCAAACUGCGGGCAACCGUGGGGUCAGGAAAUGAGAUGAUUCAUAAUAACUAAACGA